GAUCAUGGCUCAGAUUGAACGCUGGCGGCAGGCCUAACACAUGCAAGUCGAGCGGGGGAAGGUAGCUUGCUACCGGACCUAGCGGCGGACGGGUGAGUAAUGCUUAGGAAUCUGCCUAUUAGUGGGGGACAACAUCUCGAAAGGGAUGCUAAUACCGCAUACGUCCUACGGGAGAAAGCAGGGGAUCUUCGGACCUUGCGCUAAUAGAUGAGCCUAAGUCGGAUUAGCUAGUUGGUGGGGUAAAGGCCUACCAAGGCGACGAUCUGUAGCGGGUCUGAGAGGAUGAUCCGCCACACUGGGACUGAGACACGGCCCAGACUCCUACGGGAGGCAGCAGUGGGGAAUAUUGGACAAUGGGGGGAACCCUGAUCCAGCCAUGCCGCGUGUGUGAAGAAGGCCUUAUGGUUGUAAAGCACUUUAAGCGAGGAGGAGGCUACUCUAGUUAAUACCUAGGGAUAGUGGACGUUACUCGCAGAAUAAGCACCGGCUAACUCUGUGCCAGCAGCCGCGGUAAUACAGAGGGUGCGAGCGUUAAUCGGAUUUACUGGGCGUAAAGCGUGCGUAGGCGGCUUAUUAAGUCGGAUGUGAAAUCCCCGAGCUUAACUUGGGAAUUGCAUUCGAUACUGGUGAGCUAGAGUAUGGGAGAGGAUGGUAGAAUUCCAGGUGUAGCGGUGAAAUGCGUAGAGAUCUGGAGGAAUACCGAUGGCGAAGGCAGCCAUCUGGCCUAAUACUGACGCUGAGGUACGAAAGCAUGGGGAGCAAACAGGAUUAGAUACCCUGGUAGUCCAUGCCGUAAACGAUGUCUACUAGCCGUUGGGGCCUUUGAGGCUUUAGUGGCGCAGCUAACGCGAUAAGUAGACCGCCUGGGGAGUACGGUCGCAAGACUAAAACUCAAAUGAAUUGACGGGGGCCCGCACAAGCGGUGGAGCAUGUGGUUUAA
rnacentral:rRNA from 1 species